GAUGAACGCUGGCGGCGUGCCUAAUACAUGCAAGUCGAACGGAAGGACACUAAGCUUGCGUCUCUAAUGUUGGCGGCGGGCGGGUGAGUAACGCGUGUAUCACCUUCCUAUUAUACUGGGAUCAUUACGUAAAACCGGAUAUAAUAACAUAGCAUAUUUUGAACCGCAUGGUGCAAAGGAUCAUUACGGUCUUGCUGUCUGUAUUAGCUGGUUCCGGGCUGGAUUAGCUAGUUGGUAAGGUACCGGCCUACCAAGGCAACGAUGCAUAGCCGAUCUGAGAGGAUGAUCGGCCACACUGGAACUGAGACACGGUCCAGACUCCUACGGGAGGCAGCAGUAGGGAAUCUUCGGCAAUGGGCGAAAGCCUGACCCAGCAAUGCCGCGUGAGUGAAGAAGGCCUUCGGAUCGUAAAGCCCUUUUAUUGGGGAAGAAAAGAUGCGGAAUUAAACGUGGACAUUGUGACGGUACCCAAUCAAAAAGCACCGGCUAACUACGUG
rnacentral:rRNA from 1 species